rnacentral:rRNA from 1 species
GGGUUGUGAGGUUAAGCGACUAAGCGUACACGGUGGAUGCCCUGGCAGUCAGAGGCGAUGAAGGACGUGCUAAUCUGCGAAAAGCGUCGGUAAGGUGAUAUGAACCGUUACAGCCGGCGAUGUCCGAAUGGGGAAACCCAGUGCAAUUCGUUGCACUAUCGUUAACUGAAUACAUAGGUUAACGAGGCGAACCGGGGGAACUGAAACAUCUAAGUACCCCGAGGAAAAGAAAUCAACCGAGAUUCCCCCAGUAGCGGCGAGCGAACGGGGAGCAGCCCAGAGUCUGAAUCAGCUUGUGUGUUAGUGGAACGGUCUGGAAAGUCCGACGGUACAGGGUGAUAGUCCCGUACACCAAAAUGCACAGGUUGUGAACUCGAAGAGUAGGGCGGGACACGUGGUAUCCUGUCUGAAUAUGGGGGGACCAUCCUCCAAGGCUAAAUACUCCUGACUGACCGAUAGUGAACCAGUACCGUGAGGGAAAGGCGAAAAGAACCCCGGCGAGGGGAGUGAAAAAGAACCUGAAACCGUGUACGUACAAGCAGUGGGAGCACCUUCGGGUGUGACUGCGUACCUUUUGUAUAAUGGGUCAGCGACUUAUAUUCUGUAGCAAGGUUAACCGUAUAGGGGAGCCGCAGGGAAACCGAGUCUUAACUGGGCGUUAAGUUGCAGGGUAUAGACCCGAAACCCGGUGAUCUAGCCAUGGGCAGGUUGAAGGUUGGGUAACACUAACUGGAGGACCGAACCGACUAAUGUUGAAAAAUUAGCGGAUGACUUGUGGCUGGGGGUGAAAGGCCAAUCAAACCGGGAGAUAGCUGGUUCUCCCCGAAAGCUAUUUAGGUAGCGCCUCGUGAAUUCAUCUUCGGGGGUAGAGCACUGUUUCGGCUAGGGGGUCAUCCCGACUUACCAACCCGAUGCAAACUACGAAUACCGAAGAAUGUUAUCACGGGAGACACACGGCGGGUGCUAACGUCCGUCGUGAAGAGGGAAACAACCCAGACCGCCAGCUAAGGUCCCAAAGUCACAGUUAAGUGGGAAACGAUGUGGGAAGGCACAGACAGCCAGGAUGUUGGCUUAGAAGCAGCCAUCAUUUAAAGAAAGCGUAAUAGCUCACUGGUCGAGUCGGCCUGCGCGGAAGAUGUAACGGGGCUAAACUGUGCACCGAAGCUGCGGCAGCGACACUAUGUGUUGUUGGGUAGGGGAGCGUUCUGUAAGCCUGCGAAGGUGGCCUGUGAGGGUUGCUGGAGGUAUCAGAAGUGCGAAUGCUGACAUAAGUAACGAUAAUGCGGGUGAAAAGCCCGCACGCCGGAAGACCAAGGGUUCCUGUCCAACGUUAAUCGGGGCAGGGUGAGUCGACCCCUAAGGCGAGGCCGAAAGGCGUAGUCGAUGGGAAACAGGUUAAUAUUCCUGUACUUGGUGUUACUGCGAAGGGGGGACGGAGAAGGCUAUGUUAGCCGGGCGACGGUUGUCCCGGUUUAAGCAUGUAGGCGGAGGUUCCAGGUAAAUCCGGUACCUUUUAACGCUGAGGUGUGAUGACGAGGCACUACGGUGCUGAAGUAACAAAUGCCCUGCUUCCAGGAAAAGCCUCUAAGCAUCAGGUAACAUUGAAUCGUACCCCAAACCGACACAGGUGGUCAGGUAGAGAAUACCAAGGCGCUUGAGAGAACUCGGGUGAAGGAACUAGGCAAAAUGGUGCCGUAACUUCGGGAGAAGGCACGCUGAUAUGUAGGUGAAGCCCCUGCGGGUGGAGCUGAAAUCAGUCGAAGAUACCAGCUGGCUGCAACUGUUUAUUAAAAACACAGCACUGUGCAAACACGAAAGUGGACGUAUACGGUGUGACGCCUGCCCGGUGCCGGAAGGUUAAUUGAUGGGGUUAUCCGUAAGGAGAAGCUCUUGAUCGAAGCCCCGGUAAACGGCGGCCGUAACUAUAACGGUCCUAAGGUAGCGAAAUUCCUUGUCGGGUAAGUUCCGACCUGCACGAAUGGCGUAAUGAUGGCCAGGCUGUCUCCACCCGAGACUCAGUGAAAUUGAACUCGCUGUGAAGAUGCAGUGUACCCGCGGCAAGACGGAAAGACCCCGUGAACCUUUACUAUAGCUUGACACUGAACAUUGAGCCUUGAUGUGUAGGAUAGGUGGGAGGCUUUGAAGCGUGGACGCCAGUCUGCGUGGAGCCAACCUUGAAAUACCACCCUUUAAUGUUUGAUGUUCUAACGUUGGCCCCUGACCGGGGUUGCGGACAGUGUCUGGUGGGUAGUUUGACUGGGGCGGUCUCCUCCCAAAGAGUAACGGAGGAGCACGAAGGUUAGCUAAUCCUGGUCGGACAUCAGGAGGUUAGUGCAAUGGCAUAAGCUAGCUUGACUGCGAGCGUGACGGCGCGAGCAGGUGCGAAAGCAGGUCAUAGUGAUCCGGUGGUUCUGAAUGGAAGGGCCAUCGCUCAACGGAUAAAAGGUACUCCGGGGAUAACAGGCUGAUACCGCCCAAGAGUUCAUAUCGACGGCGGUGUUUGGCACCUCGAUGUCGGCUCAUCACAUCCUGGGGCUGAAGUAGGUCCCAAGGGUAUGGCUGUUCGCCAUUUAAAGUGGUACGCGAGCUGGGUUUAGAACGUCGUGAGACAGUUCGGUCCCUAUCUGCCGUGGGCGCUGGAGAAUUGAGGGGGGCUGCUCCUAGUACGAGAGGACCGGAGUGGACGCAUCACUGGUGUUCGGGUUGUCAUGCCAAUGGCAUUGCCCGGUAGCUAAAUGCGGAAGAGAUAAGUGCUGAAAGCAUCUAAGCACGAAACUUGCCCCGAGAUGAGUUCUCCCUGACUCCUUGAGAGUCCUGAAGGAACGUUAAAGACGAUGACGUUGAUAGGUCGGGUGUGUAAGCGUAGCGAUACGUUGAGCUAACCGAUACUAAUGAACCGUGAGGCUUAACCUUACAACGCCGAAGGUGUUU